AGCCAAGACCCCCUACAGAUGUGCCUAGAGUCCAACCUGAUCUAUACAAUUGCUCAUGAAGACUGUCUCCCCAGAUAAUUCUAAGUUGUGUCAAGUUGACAAUUAAAACUAACCAACAUAGGAAACUUUGCCAGAAUUAAUCUCCUAGGAGGGCUGGGGGUGAAUCAUGUACUAAAUUUGUCUGUAUUACGGGCAAAUUGCCACAAGGGGAAAGGUUUUCUAUGCGAAGCUACUGGGAAGUGAGAUUAUUACUUACCUUUGACACAAAAUCUCACUGUCCAGCCCAAGCUGGCCUUGAACUCAUGACCCAUCCUCCUUGAUCUUCCAAGUGCUGAGAUUCCAAGAGAGAAUCAGUGUCCUGUUGACAUAUAGGGUCUUCACAGUUCAUAUCACAUGUGAUGGGUUGUAGAAACUAAGUGGAAAAAAAAAUCUUCUAUAGGAUGUGUUUCCAAGACUGAGUGCACUCUCUUAUUCACUCACUGUUCAGUUGUCUACCAGGGCUCUUGACCACAGCUGCCUUUGUCUGAGUAAAGAAAACUGGCUUCAUUAAGCAAGCAGACUAUGUGGGUGAAUUCUUUAUUUCUUCAAUCUUGCCUCUGACUGUGGUAUGGCCAACUGCUUGAGUUCCUGCUUUUCUCAGAAAAGAUGGAAAUGACCUGGAAUUCUGUGAUGUGGCCAACUGCCUGAGUUCCCGUCUUGACUUCCCAGAAAUGAUGGGCAAUAAC
rnacentral:lncRNA from 1 species